rnacentral:rRNA from 1 species
AGGACGAACGCUGGCGGCGUGCUUAACACAUGCAAGUCGAGCGGUAAGGCCUUUCGGGGUACACGAGCGGCGAACGGGUGAGUAACACGUGGGUAAUCUGCCCUGCACUUCGGGAUAAGCCUGGGAAACCGGGUCUAAUACCGGAUAUGAGCUCUCACCGCAUGGUGGGGGUUGGAAAGUUUUUCGGUGCAGGAUGAGUCCGCGGCCUAUCAGCUUGUUGGUGGGGUAAUGGCCUACCAAGGCGACGACGGGUAGCCGGCCUGAGGAGGGUGAUCGGCCACACGUGGGACUGGAGACACGGCCCAGACCUCCGUACGGGAGCAGCAGGUAGGGGAAUAGUUGCAACAAGUGGGCGGAAGCCUGAGUGCACGCGACGGCCGGCGGUGGGGGA